rnacentral:tRNA from 1 species
GCCAGCUUAGCUCAGUUGGUAGAGCAGUUGACUUGUAAUCAGCAGGUCGUCGGUUCGAUUCCGACAGCUGGCUCCA